AAUUUGUGGAUAAUAGUAUAUAAUUAUAAGCAACGUGUAGAACGUUUGUAGGUCUUGAAAUCCUAUGACAACCGUUGAGAUAGGGCUUAUCCUUCGGGAGCAGAGUGACAGGUGGUGCAUGGUCGUCGUCAGCUCGUGUCGUGAGAUGUUGGGUUAAGUCCCGCAACGAGCGCAACCCUUGAUCUUAGUUGCCAUCAUUUAGUUGGGCACUCUAAGGUGACUGCCGGUGACAAACCGGAGGAAGGUGGGGAUGACGUCAAAUCAUCAUGCCCCUUAUGACCUGGGCUACACACGUGCUACAAUGGACGGUACAAAGAGCUGCAAGACCGCGAGGUGGAGCUAAUCUCAUAAAACCGUUCUCAGUUCGGAUUGUAGGCUGCAACUCGCCUACAUGAAGCUGGAAUCGCUAGUAAUCGCGGAUCAGCAUGCCGCGGUGAAUACGUUCCCGGGCCUUGUACACACCGCCCGUCACACCACGAGAGUUUGUAACACCCGAAGUCGGUGAGGUAACCUUUUAGGAGCCAGCCGCCGAAGGUGGGACAGAUGAUUGGGGUGAAGUCGUAACAAGGAAGCGGUAAUCGUUUCCCCAGCAGCCGCGCCUGGAGUGAGCCACACCCCGGGAUCCGAGACCCAUACCGUGUUAGUAUGAAAAAGCCCCACCCUCCCGAAAGGGUGCCCUAUGGAAAAUGCCUGCAACGGGGCCUUUUCACGGUUGCGGGCCUUAUGGUGACAUUCUAGUAACGUGGUCUUUCUUGGGUUAUUCCCUGAUUUCUGGGAUAACAGUAAUACCGCCUUUGAGUGAGGAUAUACCGCUUGCGGCAACAUAAGGCUGCUCGUAAAUCUGCAAGGCUGCUCGUCAGGGGUGGAGAGCUGCUUCUUCCAUAUGUGUCUUAGUUCUUCGCAAUGCGUCCAGCUUAUUCCAAUGAGCCAUGUAUGUAGACCCGGCCGAGCUUCUGCAGAUCUACGCUUAAAUGGGGAAUUGAACUCCCGCCGC
rnacentral:rRNA from 1 species